AGAGUUUGAUCCUGGCUCAGAGCGAACGCUGGCGGCGUGCUUAACACAUGCAAGUCGAGUGCGCAGUUUUGUGUAGCAAUACAUGAAAUGGGCGCACGGCGCACGGGUGCGUAACACGUGGGUAAUCUGCCCUCAAGUGGGGAAUAACCCGUCGAAAGGCGGGCUAAUACCGCAUAACAUUCCUUGGACUACGGUUCGAGGACUCAAAGCCCGCAAGGGCGCUGGAGGAGGAACCCGCGGCCGAUUAGCUAGUUGGCGAGGUAACGGCUCACCAAGGCAAUGAUCGGUAGCUGGUCUGAGAGGAUGGCCGGCCACACUGGAACUGAGAUACGGUCCAGACUCCUACGGGAGGCAGCAGUGGGGAAUCUUGCGCAAUGGGCGAAAGCCUGACGCAGCGACGCCGCGUGGGGGACGAAGCUUCUCGGAGUGUAAACCCCUUUCGAUCCGGACGAAUAUCCGCAAGGAUUGACGGUACGGGAUGAAGAAGCCCCGGCUAACUACGUGCCAGCAGCCGCGGUAAGACGUAGGGGGCCAGCGUUGCUCGGAAUAACUGGGCGUAAAGGGUCUGUAGGCGGUGUGGCAAGUCGGGAGUGAAAUCUCUGGGCUUAACCCAGAGGCUGCUUCCGAAACUGCCGUGCUCGAGUGCGAGAGAGGUGAGUGGAAUUGCAGGUGUAGCGGUGAAAUGCGUAGAUAUCUGCAGGAACACCAGAGGCGAAGGCGGCUCACUGGAUCGCAACUGACGCUGAGAGACGAAAGCUAGGGGAGCAAACAGGAUUAGAUACCCUGGUAGUCCUAGCCCUAAACGAUCAGGACUUGGCGUGGGCCCCGUACGGGGCUCGUGUCGGAGCUAACGUGUUAAGUCCUGCGCCUGGGGAGUACGGUCGCAAGGCUGAAACUCAAAGGAAUUGACGGGGGCCCGCACAAGCGGUGGAACAUGUGG
rnacentral:rRNA from 1 species